CUCAUGAGGACAUUAGCCAGACUCUCUGGAAUUACACCUGCUGCCACCAGCAGCCCUGGACAGAGAAAAAAAGGCCAGCCUUGCGAAACCCGGCCUUGAUGUUUUGGGCUGUGACAGCAGUGGGAUAGACAUGUUUGAGGAGAGCUGAAAACUGCUUCUUCCCCACAACAAUGUCCCUUCGCACCAGACCCAUCCUGGAAGCCAUGGUGAAGAAAGCAGUCUUCAGUGGGUUGAAGACCGCAAUAUCGAGGGGCUGAAUUAUGUGUGUAGUGUGGGCAGGAGCAUAUCUGAUGAAAUGGUGGAGCCAUUUCAAGAAGAGCUCGGAGUCCAUGUAUCCCUUCUCCUGGAUGCCAUACAGGGCAUUGGGGGGCCCAUUUGGGAGGCAGCCGGGGUAAAUGAUGAGGGUGGAAUGCUGUACCCGGCUGCAUUCACACAGCAGUGGACCGUGAUGUGCUCCCUGGUUGUCUGCUGCUGUUGAUAGACAUGUUUCCUUCCAGUCUGGCACAGGACCUUCUCCCUGGACCGAGGCUUGUCUCCAAAGCCAGUCUCAUCACAAUUAUAAAUGAGAUGAGGCUUGUUCUCAAGGUUAUGCUUUUCAUAAAGGGCCUUGUACAGCCUGAAGAAUGCCUCAAUGGCCUCCGGUGUAGCACCAUGGACUCUGGACUGCUGUCCUUGAGGCCAAUUCUGGAUGGUGGGCCUUAAACCUGGACCACCACACAUCACUUGGCCCCUUCUCCAGGUUUACGGUGGUGGUCUCAGUUCUGCCACUCUCUUUAAUGAUACCAACAGCCAGAAGUUUGACAAGGUAUCUUGUCAGUGGAAGCCAUGGUCUGCCAUCCAGAAUAUAAAAGAAAGGAGAGACUCUUCCUCUCCAGGUGUCAGGGCCGAAUUAGGAUGAGAGUUGUGGACAAUAUUUUUUUUUUUUUUUUUUAUAGUCCUG
ensembl:lncRNA